GUAAGGCUUCUGCAUGGCGGGUCGUAGCUCGUGUUGUGCACAUUAUGGGGUAGGUCCCGCACGGGGGGCAGUCCCUCUAUGGUUUGUUAGCAUGCGGUCCGGCCGGGAACUCAAAGGAGGCUGCCCAGUCUUAAACUGAGGAAGGAUGGGGAUGACAGUCAAGUCAUCAUGGCCCCUGGCGCCCAGGGCUACACACGUGCUACCAUGGCGCAUCAAGAGAAGUGACCUCGCGAGAGCAAGCGGCCUCAUACAGUGCGUCGUAGUCCGGAUUGGAGUCUCCAACUCGCCUCCAUAAAGUCGGACUCGCUAGUAAUAAGCAGAUCAGCAUGCUCAGUGAAUGCGUUCACCGGGCCUUGUACACACCGCCCGUCACACCAUGGGAGUGGGUUGCAAAAAGUAGGUAGCUUAACCUUCGGGAGGGCGCUUACCUCUUUGUGAUUCAUGACUGGGGUGAAGUCUGUAACAAGGUAACCUCAGUCAGUCAAAUCGAA
rnacentral:rRNA from 1 species